GUGUCCCCAAGAGUUCCCCUUAACGCUUCAUUGAGGACUUUGUUUAGGUCCACUUUCACUACUCCUCACUGAAGUGUUUGGGGGAGCUCCCGGUGGCGC
rnacentral:pre_miRNA from 1 species